GUGUCAGGGUGAACCUUGUUGGUACUGUGUGUGUGUGUGUGUGUGUGGCCUGCAUGUGUAGACUGGCUGCAAACAGAGGGUCUCUCAACAACACUAAUAUACUCUUAUUUAAAAUUUUGAGCGCGGGACUGACCCCUCCUUUUUACGAGCGUGGGCUAAUCUCCCUGUGUGUGAGGUACUCACUGUUUCUGCAGAAGGCUCUGCUGCUGCUGCCUGUACGACUCUAUGGUGUGCUGAGGGAGAUACUGCAUAAGUUCCAGAGACUCUUUGAUUUUCACCAAAAUCUCAUAGAUUUCACGGCCUUUAAUCUGUUGGACAGAGACAGAGAGACACGGUGCUGUGGCAUCCACAAAAUCUCUCACUGGACAGAAAUCCCUUCUGCAGGUUUUAGAACUUCACGCUGUGGAGACAGACGAGUCCUGACAGGCUCCUUGACACAAACAAGCCUUGGCUCCAUCUCACGAGGCAUGGGACGGGCCUGCAGAUGUUCCAGGACAAGCUGCAUCUUGUCACCUUUCGCUGGAACACUCGCUUCUUUGAGAGCUUUUCCACCCCCCCUUCCUCCCACCCUUACCCCUCCUCUGCCUUUUCCUCCGGCGCAGUACAGCAUGAAGUCAGAGACCUUAAUUCAUGGAGCAGGGUGCAGUGAAUGGCCCUUGAGCACGAUAGGGUUCAGAAAGGAGGCACAGAGUAUUUACACAAGUAUUAUCAAUCCAUUCUCCUAAUCCCCUGUCCUCUGGCUGAGACUACCCAGGAUGCCUGCAGAGGGGUCCAAUGGGCUCACGGAAUACUAGUGUUCAUGGCAGAUGCGGUAAAAUGCAAACAAAGCUGAUGGUUUGUCACACAAAUGCAUUGCUGAUAAGUUGACAGUGGAUUUAUAAUGAAAGGCUCUAUGCCCAAAUCAAACAAAUGCUACAUCAACACCUUAAAACAAUCAUUUCUCUUGAGUCCCACUUGGAAAGUGAGACUAAUCAGUGGAGUCAUCUUACAAAAGACAGCGCGCACACACACACACACACACACAAGAAAAGAAAAACAGGAUUGCAAAAGCAUUCCUGUAAGUGAGGUAGGUUGGAUUCAAUACCAGGAAAUGCAUGAAGGUGUUUUUGUGUGUCACCAAAGCCUUACUUACGAAGACGUAUCUGGGAUAAAGGUGUGUCUGAAAGAAGCAGGAUUUAUCUAGAAAUCUGAACCUUCUUAUUUCGAAAGGUUGAAGACCCAAAAGCAAAAAAAUAAAAAAAAAAUUAAAAAUAAAUAAAUAAAUAAAUAAAUAUCUUUUGGGUCUUCAACCUUUAUUUUACACACACACACACACACACACACACACACACACACACACACACACACACACACACACACACACACCAAUGUUAGAAGCAGGAGUAUGACUGUGACUUUUGUAAAAGUUAAAUUUUAACAAAGUUUUUGUCACUACAUUCUGAGUGUAUUUUUCUUGCCAUGAACUCAGAGACAGUGGGCCACAAUUAUCACAAUUAUCAAUGCUCAGGCAUCAUAAACGAUUCUCACCACUGUACACCGGACAAGUAACUGGGGUCCUGUGAGACAGGACGAGUCUCAGACAAGACAAUGGAGUGUCUUUUUCUCACACCCAGAAGUUUUUCACUGAACACUGAUGUCAGGUACCUGCUGUUUUUUGGUGGAGUAUGCCACAUGAGCAAGGAUGACAUGGGCUGUUGUGGGAAUCGGGCAUAUGUCACUAUCCCACACAGCUUUGCAGCCAAUGAGAAAGAAGGGACUGUCUGAGAAAAGUUCCUUCCCUCCACUUGUUUACUCAGAGGCAUAAGGCAUUAACUUUUAUCAUCAGUGUAACGGAAAUACAGGUUUUUCCAGCCUAUCUUGUGCCAAAUGGCACGUUGUUCAUGAUGCUUAAAAUCAAUUUCCAUAGAAUCAGAAACUUGUUUCCUGAAUUAACCCUUAUGAUUAAACGGCUAGAAAUUCUUGACCUGCAUUACGUUAGAAAGGCUAGCCAAAACAAACCGCUCUUUUCACACUGUCAGUACACUAGCUUUAUUCUUUAGAUAAUCUCACAGCAGAUGUAAAGCUGAGCUACAGAUUAAGUUUUCUAUCACCACCUACUGGUGACAUCGGAUUUCGAGUUAACAGCUGUCCGCCGGGGUGUGCGGUCCCUUAAGAUGACCGAUUUGUGGUCUCAUUUGGUUGGCAGCACUUUGCAUAGUGACAGCCAAUGUUUUACCGCCAACAUGGGACAGCCCUGUUAACCACUGGAACUUGACGAGCUGGUUCUGUCAGUUGUCAGUCUGCGGUGGCACAAAUCUGAGCCAAACAAACAUGACACUGACAUAUAAGUAGCUACUGUAAUAUUCACUGAUGCAUGUUACUGCUGCCAUGCAGCGAUAACGCAGCAAUUACCUAUUUAAAAAAACAACAACAAAAAAAAAAAAAAACCCUAGCACCUGGAGAUAACCAACCAGCAGGAAGCAGUCGUGAGUAUCGUGCGCUUCGUUAAGAAGUACUGAAGUUCAUUUAGAAAAAGAAAAAAACGCAUAUAGCCCAUGGUGAAUUGGUGGAUUCAUCCAUCCAUCAUCCAUGAAAUACAUUUUAUAAUAAUAAUAAUAAUAAUUAUAAUAUGAUCAAGCAUAGCGGCACGGUGGUGUAGUGGUUAGCGCUGUCGCCUCACAGCAAGAAGGUCCUGGGUUUGAGCUCCGGGGCCGGCGAGGGCCUUUCUGUGUGGAGUUUGCAUGUUCUCCUCGUGUCCGCGUGGGUUUCCUCCGGGUGCUCCGGUUUCCCCCACAGUCCAAAGACAUGCAGGUUAGGUUAACUGGUGACUCUAAAUUGAC